rnacentral:tRNA from 2 species
CGGGGCGUAGCGCAGCCUGGUUAGCGCGCUUGCUUUGGGAGCAAGAGGUCGUGAGUUCAAAUCUCACCGCCCCGACCA